AGAUUGAACGCUGGCGGCAUGCCUUACACAUGCAAGUCGAACGGCAGCACGGGAGCAAUCCUGGUGGCGAGUGGCGAACGGGUGAGUAAUAUAUCGGAACGUGCCCAGUCGUGGGGGAUAACGCAGCGAAAGCUGUGCUAAUACCGCAUACGAUCUAUGGAUGAAAGCGGGGGAUCGCAAGACCUCGCGCGAUUGGAGCGGCCGAUAUCAGAUUAGCUAGUUGGUGGGUAAAAGCCUACCAAGGCGACGAUCUGUAGCUGGUCUGAGAGGACGACCAGCCACACUGGAACUGAAGACACGGUCCAGACUCCGUACGGGAGCAGCAGGUAGGGGUAAUUUAGGACAAGUGGGACGACAAGCCUAGACUCCCAAGUCCAAAUCGGCCCGGUCGUGGACCAGGA
rnacentral:rRNA from 1 species